rnacentral:rRNA from 1 species
AUGAACGCUGGCGGCGUGCCUAAUACAUGCAAGUCGAGCGAACAGACGAGGAGCUUGCUCCUCUGACGUUAGCGGCGGACGGGUGAGUAACACGUGGAUAACCUACCUAUAAGACUGGGAUAACUUCGGGAAACCGGAGCUAAUACCGGAUAAUAUAUUGAACCGCAUGGUUCAAUAGUGAAAGACGGUUUUGCUGUCACUUAUAGAUGGAUCCGCGCCGCAUUAGCUAGUUGGUAAGGUAACGGCUUACCAAGGAAACGAUGCGUAGCCGACCUGAGAGGGGGAUCGGCAACACUGAAACUGGAACAGGGCCCAAACUCAAAGGGAAGGAGGAGGAAGGAAACUUACGGCAAUGGGCGAAAGCUUAACGAAGAAACGCGGGGUGGGGAUGAAGGUCUUCGGAUCGUAAAACUCUGUUAUUAGGGAAGAACAAAUGUGUAAGUAACUAUGCACGUCUUGACGGUACCUAAUCAGAAAGCCACGGCUAACUACGUG